rnacentral:rRNA from 1 species
UGUAAGCGUAUACCAAAGUUGUUGCAGUUAAAACGCUCGUAGUCGGAAUUUGGCAGUUCCGGAUGUGUGCACGUCGUGUGCGCACUUCGCGGGGAUUGCUUUUGUGGUCUUGCGUAGGAUGAGGCACUUUUAUUAGUGAACGUCCUCACGCAACCACUUUUUACUGUGAGAAAAUCAGAGUGCUCAAAGCAGGCAUUUGCCGUGAAUGCAUUAGCAUGGAAUAAUAGAAUAGGACUUGGUUCUAUUUUGUUGGUUUGUUGGGACUGAGUAAUGAUUAAGAGGGACAGUUGGGGGCAUUUGUAUUUCGGUGCUAGAGGUGAAAUUCUUAGAUUACCGAAAGACAAACUGCUGCGAAAGCGUCUGCCAAGGAUGUUUUCAUUGA